CCUACGGGCUCAGGGUUUUGGAGGACGCGGGGUUUGGGGGACCGGGUUUGAUGAGGAGGCGGCUCAGGCACCGACAGGGUCCCGCUUCUGGGGGCGCGGCUCCUGGUAGGACAGGGUCCGGCUAUUGGACAGCCGCUCGGGGGCACAGACGGCUCCCAGGACUGGAGUGCUCAGGAAGUAGGGACGUGCCCGGGAAAUAAGACCUAACGGAAAGCACAACCUCCUAGGCAAAGGGAUAGGCAGGGGCAGGGCGGGGCCUGCAGGCCGGGGCGGGACUUCCGCCCGGUGGAGGCGGAUUCGGUCUAGCUGUGGGGCUGAGUUUCCCUACCGAGCCGCAAACCCCUGAAAGGUUUCUCUUUGAGUGGCUCCGGAGGGCUGGAAAGUUUGGUCUCCUUCGCGUGUAGAAAAAGGUUAUUCUGGUGCCUAUGCGCCCCCUCAGGGUCUGAGCCACACUGGACCCUAUCCUUCAUCUAUGCUCCGCCCACAACAAACUCACCUUUUGGUUCGCCAAUCACUUGGCAUCCCAUCCACCAGCUGCAAUUAGGUAACUGUCACUCUUGCUCCUCAUCAAUGAAGCUUCUUUUUGCAGCAGAUCAAGACCAUUGCAGAAAUCCACAAAAUGCUGAGAAUAAUUGAUCACUGGGCGUCUAGCCCCAGCUGAUAUACGAACAGCACAGCUGCUAUAUCUAAGGCUCAGGCAACACCCUGGAAGAAGCAGGCAGAAAGAUUGUAAGAACCAGAGGACUAGGGUAUCUGCUGUGAGACGUCUUUUAUAUAAGAGAAGCUACACCCAUGAAAUGUCAACAAUUUGUCACCUGAACAUGACCUGCACAAUGGCAACACUAGUUGACCUGCCAUUGUGAAUGCAUAAAAUCUCACAAGGCCCUCUCCUUAGAUAAGGAGCUAUAAGCAAUUAAUGGCUCCUAAGAGAAGGAAAAUCAGUCUUCCCCAGAGAUGAGCUCCCUGAUGGGGUAGCCAGUCCCAAGUGGUCAGCCCUAAACACGUACAGUCAUGAGCAACACCAAAUGGAUUCAUCAGGGGCACAUGCCGCGUGCAUGUAAUGGUAAUGAAAGAAUAAGAGGUCA